AAAAGAAAAAAAAGAUCGGUGUCUGCCUCACCCAUGACAAGCACUGGCCCAGAAGGCUGCCACAGAAAUACUGUGGCUCAUGGGCCCUGAUCCCCUCUCCUGGGCCUCAGGGAUAAAUUUGGCUACAGACAUCA